UUUGGCCUACGGGGGGCAGCAGUGGGGAAUAUUGCACAAUGGGGGAAACCCUGAUGCAGCGACGCCGCGUGAGUGAAGAAGUAUUUCGGUAUGUAAAGCUCUAUCAGCAGGGAAGAAAAAAGACGGUACCUGACUAAGAAGCCCCGGCUAACUACGUGCCAGCAGCCGCGGUAAUACGUAGGGGGCAAGCGUUAUCCGGAUUUACUGGGUGUAAAGGGAGCGUAGACGGCAGGGCAAGUCUGGAGUGAAAGCUCGGGGCCCAACCCCUGGACUGCUUUGGAAACUGCCAUGCUAGAGUGCUGGAG
rnacentral:rRNA from 1 species